UUACUUUAUUAUUCAUUGCGAACAUAUUCAUUGUUUUUUUUUCGGUCAUUGUGCGAUGUGGUACAGUUGAACUAAACGAGUGUCCAAUUGUACAAUGUUGUGUUUGUACAUAAUAAGAACAUCUUAUGCAACAUUUUGUUACGCUGUGGCUCAUUUACUGUUCUUCAUUCUUUCUUUCGUAGAUUUCAUGACGAAUGAACACUUCAAUACACCGUACAAAUAAUUGUCAAUCUCAAAAAGGAAGCAAAAAUUGGGGGUGGAUCCACCUCUGUUCCCCACAACAACCGAAAGUCAAAGGAAGUUUUUUUUAAUAUCUGCAAAGCCAUCCUCCUUGUGAUAAUGACAUCAUGUAAUACGCAUGUGCGCUAAGACAGACAUUUGGUGACAGAAAACGCGGGCAUUCGAAAAUAACUGGUACUACCACAAGGUGAUCGUGUUCCUUGGUAUCCAGCUUUGGGAGGUCGACCAAACCUGCAAAACAAGGAAAUGAAAUCAAGACCAAACAUUUGAGCCAUAAAAACGUUGUCGCAGCUAUCAGAGUGAAAGUUCACGUUUUCCAAGAGAGAUUGAAAAUAAUUUCUCCAGUCUUUUUUUCUUAUCUGGCAAUCUGAAGUAAACUGCAUUAAAAUAUAUUUAAUCACCUGACAAACACGAGACGCCAGUCUUCAAAAUGGCUUCACUAUCGAGCAAACAUUACUCCAUAGUGUAGGAUGAGCUUUUUCUUGAUGUAAUUAUUGUAGAAGCUUUUCUUCUUCUGACAAACAGCAAAUUUCUCCUGCCUUUCCAAAUUGAUGAUUUCUUAGGCCCGAACUUUAUUAUUUGCUUUCUUCGGCAAUCUCCAUAAAUUUAAGAUUGUAAAUUUAAACUGUACUUUUAUGUGAAGGGGCAGAAAAUAAACAAAACAUAAUUUAAACGAAA